rnacentral:rRNA from 1 species
AUUGAACGCUGGCGGCAGGCCUAACACAUGCAAGUCGAACGAGUGGCGGACGGGUGAGUAAUGUCUGGGAAACUGCCUGAUGGAGGGGGAUAACUACUGGAAACGGUAGCUAAUACCGCAUACCAUCAGAUGUGUCCAGAUGGGAUUAGCUAGUAGGUGGGGUAACGGCUCACCUAGGCGACGAUCCCUAGCUGGUCUGAGAGGAUGACCAGCAAAACUGGAACUGGGAAACGGUCAAGACUCCUACGGGGGGAAGCGGUGGGGAAUAUUGCACAAGGGGCGAAAGCCUGAUGCAGCCAUGCCGCGGGUAUGAAAAAGGCCUUCGGGUUGUAAAGUACUUUCAGCGGGGAGGCGUUACCCGCAGAAGAAGCACCGGCUAACUCCGUGCCAGCAGCCGCGGUAAUAC